ACGACCGUAGCUCAAUUGGUAGAGAUUCCGGCUGUUGACCGGAGAAUGCAGGUUCGAGUCCUGUCGGUCGUG
rnacentral:tRNA from 1 species